rnacentral:rRNA from 1 species
GCACAACGCGAAGAACCUUACCCACCUUUGACAUGUACGGAAUCCUUUAGAGAUAGAGGAGUGCUCGAAAGAGAGCCGUAACACAGGUGCUGCAUGGCUGUCGUCAGCUCGCGUCGUGAGAUGUUGGGUUAAGUCCCGCAACGAGCGCAACCCUUGCCAUUAGUUGCUACAUUUAGUUGAGCACUCUAAUGGGACUGCCGGUGACAAACCGGAGGAAGGUGGGGAUGACGUCAAGUCCUCAUGGCCCUUAUAGGUGGGGCUACACACGUCAUACAAUGGCUGGUACAAAGGGUUGCCAACCCGCGAGGGGGAGCUAAUCCCAUAAAGCCAGUCGUAGUCCGGAUCGCAGUCUGCAACUCGACUGCGUGAAGUCGGAAUCGCUAGUAAUCGCGGAUCAGAAUGUCGCGGUGAAUACGUUCCCGGGUCUUGUACACACCG